UGAAUUGUAAUAGUCCAACAAUACAUCUUCCCUGAAAAUGUGCUCUAUUACACCAGUAAUUUCUAAUGAAAAACUUCAUUCUUCACACACUGUGGUUAAGCAUCAUCAAAUCAGUACUGAAAAGACCUUUGAUCGUAUUUGCAAGAUGCACUAAAAUGAACUUUCACUGACCAAGAUUUCAAAGUUUGUAAUUAAUACUCUUGAAAAAUCCCUGACUAAUCUGUCAACUCUCAACGUCUUUAACCACACAGUUCAAAACCAUGAGGUGGCGUACACAGCCCCUAAACUUUCCACAUAUUGUCAUAUGAUUAUUCAAGAUAAUUUUCCCUUUGGGUUUGCAUUAUGAAACUCAACCAACUUUGGUAAUAUAUUCACCGGUGGGGGAAAUACAAUGAUUUGAAUGAGUGUAAAAUAGAGUAUGGGUUUUAUCUAUCUGGUGCCAAAAACAGAACGUAGGGCCAGAGGUAGGAAUUAAAUGAGGCAGAUUUCAAUAUAAAGAAAAUUUUAAAAAAAUAAACUUGAAAAGGAACCCAAUGGCUGGUGAAAAGGAGGGUUUCUUCACUCAUAAGUGUUCAGGGAGUGUGCCCUCCAAUGGCACCCUAGAGAAGAAAAAUGAACUGGCUGUGAAGAGGAGUUGACUGCCAAGAUUCUUUCUAAAUCUAAAGUUCUGGAGCAGUUUAAAAUACUCCUUCUAGCCUUCUCCAUUUUUCCUAGACUGCAACAGAAACCUCAGAAUGAUUAUUGUCUCAAUGGACGGAUCCGGCAUCAUUCCUGUUAGUUAUUGUUUGACUCUUAGUUAUUGUUUGACUCUGAUUCCAGGUACCCACCCACCUCUGUUCCUGGCUGUCAAGAUGAUAAUAAUAAUUACCAUCCUUUCACUCACAAAUGGUAUGCUGGAUUCCUACCCAGUGUUAGGUACAAUUCUGGACUUUAGAGGUUUAAUGGUACACACUACAGGAACAGGUCUCACAUCGUGAAGCUGUUGAGGCGUUUUAAAAAUUUUUAAAAAUAUAUGAUCUCUUUAAUACAAAAUAAACUUGAGAAGAUAAUAUAGCAUUGAUUAUUACACAGUUACAGUAUUUUUAUUACCAGGGGGUAUUUUUAUAUGGGGCUAAGCAGUGUAUUAUUAAAGUUUAGUUUUGUUACCAAACAUGCUUCCAUACUAUAAGCAUAAAAAUUGCACAUAGUGUAGGGGUCCUCUGCCCUGCCAGUUUAUGACCCAUUUAUGCUGGACAAAGUACUUCAAGCUUACCCAUAUCUUUACAAAGAAAAUUCACCAGCUUUUGAAAAAGACAAAUGAAUAGGUAUACUUUAAAAAUAAAAAAGUAUGAACAAGUUAUAGGUUCUUGCAAAAACAUUUUUUAAGGUCAAACCUAAACAUGGGCACUAUUGCUCUACAAGCAAUAAGAAUGUACAGUCCACUGGAAAUAGCCAGUGAGUGGAAUUUGAGAAUAUCUGCUUUAAAGAAAGCAGAAGCACUCAGCCCUCAAGGGAUGACACUGUGUUUGACUAUAUUAAUAUGUAUAUUUGGGAGUGAGGGAAAAAUUGUAACAUCAGUUUGGCUUCCCACCUCCAUCUAGUUGCAGUACUCAAUUUAUUUUUCUGCUCUUUUUGACUCUCCCUACAGUUUCCUUAUUUCAGUUGGGAGAGUAGGAUGGCCAAGGAUGGGCAGUGACUAAGCUUUGCAGUCCUCUGAACAAACCAUAUUUUCCCAGCAUGGCAUGGUGUUAGUCCUAUAAUAGAUGUUCAGGGUGGGAAGUGCCCAGUACACUUGGAGGGACACCCCAGCUAUUCCUAGGACUCCAUGCAGAAGGUUUUCCUGCCUCUUCCCAUAUGUCUCACCCCUGUUCUCAGCAUAAGAUGACCACAUGCUGUUUUUUGUGAAAAAUCCCUUACCCAAACUUGAAAUGUCCCUUCAUUAGCCCCUUUCGUCUGGCUACCUUGGUAGAGUCUUUUUCUCCAUCCCUUUAAUCUGGGCUGAGUUAUGACUUGCUUUGCCAGUAGAAUAUGGGGAACAUGUCACUGUGUGAUUUCCAGAGUUUAGGCCUUAAGAAGCUUUGAAUCCCCCAUUAUCACUCUCCUAUAACCGUGAGAAUACCUGCUGUGCAGAAGCCCAGUCUAGCCUGCUGGAGGACAAAAGGCCACGUAGAGAUGGACCAAGGUGCCUUGGCCAACAGCCAGCACCCACUGCCAGAUAUGAGAGAGAGGCCAUCUUGGACAUCCUAGUCCUGUUGAACUCAGAUGACUGCAGCCACAGGAGUGAUCCCAGUGCCUCACUGCUUCCAGUUGCUGGAGGAUAUGUGGUGCUGCACUGACAAAUGCCUCCACCACUGUGGCAGACGUGUGACCCUUGACGUUCUUCCUAAGUCAGAAUCUGUAUUCUGUGUGUGCCUAGUGUGGAGAACAUGGAUCUGCCCAGCCACACUGGCUCAGAUUCUCUGAGAGGACCAGGGCAGUAAUGGUGCCCAGGAGUACUCUAUGAUGUUGCCACCGGAGGAAGGUGCCAAGGAUAUCGGCUUCAGAGCCAGCUACCAUGUGAAAAGUCCAGCUUGAUGACCUAGAAGGACCUUUACCUGCAGAAGGACAAGGCUUCAACUCUGUUCUGCAGAUUCUCCUUCAGUAAAUUGGGAGUGCCCUUCCACACUGGUCAACAGGCCCCUCCCUGCUGCUUUGGAUCACCACCUUAAGUCAAACACAAUUCAAGUGCCUUCAAAAGAGCAGCACAUGGACUGGCAAAUCGUGACUGGUGAAAAUGGGCACAAUCAAGUAGUUAACCUGCACCUAUUCUCACUUUUUGCAGACUUCCAAACUCGCUGAAUGCACAGAGGCCUUGGCCUGGCUUAUCUCCUCCUCGCUCACU
ensembl:lncRNA ACOXL-AS1 ACOXL antisense RNA 1